rnacentral:rRNA from 1 species
GGGUACUGCUAUCAGAUUUCGAUUAAGCCAUGCAAGUUUGCUCACUCACUUGGGUGGGCGGCAUACGGCUGAGUAACACGUGGUCAAUCUGCCCUUAGGACGUGAAUAACCUCGGGAAACUGAGGCUAAAACGCGAUAGAUGCCUUAUGCUGGAAUGCUUAGGCAUUUAAAUGGCUGGUGAAUUGGAGCCAGUCCGCCUUAGGAUGAGACUGCGCCGGAUUAUGGUAGUUGGUGAGGUAAUGGCUCACCAAGCCGAUAAUCUGUAGGGGCCAUGGGAGUGGUGGCCCCCAGAAGGGUACUGAGACAAGGACCCUAGUCCUACGGGAUGCAGCAGGCGCGAAACCUCUACAAUGCGCGUAAGCGUGAUAGGGGAAAUCUGAGUGGCGACAACUAAGUUGUCGUCUUUUGCCAAGUGUAAACAGCUUGGAGAAUAAGGGUGUGGGCAAACACACCUUUAUGGCUAGAACAGUCAUUGGGUAUGGCCUAUGACUGGUGGCAGCCGCCGCGGUAACACCAGCGCCUCGAGUGGUACCCACGAAUAUUGGGCCUAGAGUGUCCGUAGCCGGACUACUAAGUCCGCUGUGAAAUGUUGGGGCUCAACCUCAACGCGUGCAGUGGAUACUGGUAAGUCUUGGGAACGGGGGAGGGUCGGAGUACUUCCAGGGUAGGGGUAAAAUCCGUUGAGCCUGGAAGGACUACCAGUGGCGAAGGCGCCGAUCCAAAACGUAUCCGACGGUGAGGGACGAAAGCUGGGGGAGCGAACGGGAUUAGAUACCCCGGUAGUCCCAGCUGUAAAUGAUGCAGACUGUGGUGUUACAUAUGAGUAAUCAUAUGUAGUGCUGUAGCGUAGGUGUUAAGUCUGCCGCCUGGGGAGUACAAUCGCAAGAUUGAAACUUAAAGGAAUUGGCGGGGGAGCACCACAAGCCGUGGAUGCUACGGUUU